UCCAGCCUCGCCGCCGCCUCCUCUCCUCCCCUGUGCCCCGCUCCUCCCGCCUAGCCGCCGCCUCCUCUCCCCUCCCUGCCCCGCCGUCGCCCGGCUUCGUCCCCUCAUGGCCUCCUCCUUCCACCCCUCAUCUGGCGCCUCCCAAACCCUAAUGCCUGGCCCCGGCUCCGGCUCCCACGGGAGGGAAGGAGGAAUGGCGAGGCGAGGCAAAUGCGGUGGCGUAUGGGACGCGGCGUGGGCGGUCGGCCUCCUCCUCCCCUACUCCCUCGCCAUGCUGGUUCUGGAGCUGCUCGAUGCGCCGACCAAGUACGCCGACCCCUUCCAACGGCCUCCUCUCCUAAGGUCGCGGCACCCGGCACUGUCCAGAUCCCAGAGGAGUACGUGGAUGAUGUCGAAGCGAUGGAUGUCACUCAGAAUCCUCCACGAGAAGAAGUCCACAAAACAAUUGAAGAUUGCAGGGCUGCUGGUAUACGUGUUAUGGUGAUAACAAAGAAACAGCAGAGGCGAUAUGCCGUGAGAUUGGGGUUUUUGGUCCCAGUGAAAACAUUAGCUCAAAGGGCUUUGCAGGGAAGGAAUUUAUGGCUCUUCUGAUAAGAAGUUGUUGAGGCAAACAUGUGGCCUUCUCUUCUCAAGGGCAGAGCCAAAACAUAAGCAGGAAGUUGUUAGGCUGCUCAAAGAAGAUGGUGAAGUUGUUGCAAUGACUGGUGAUGGAGUGAAUGAUGCACCAGCACUGAAAUUAGCUGAUAUUGGAAUUGCGAUGGGCAUUACAGGGACUGAAGUCGCCUUCAUUCUCUUCUUUAAAUCAGUCGUCCUUUUUAGUUCUAUUUUUAAGAUCCAUUCCUAUUUUGUGUAAUUCAUCGUUAGCUUAUUUAAUUAUUUUUAUUUCCAUAGAAAAAUGUCACCUGCUGACAUCUCAAGAGUACUGUUUUAGGCUACACCUGAUCACCUUACAUAUGCAAUUGAAUCCAUUUUGUUAGUGUCUGAUUGUUUUCUAUCAUUGAAGGUGCUUCUAUCUAUCUAUUGAACUUCACACCCGAAUAGAGGUUAAAUGUUAUUGCUUCUAAUGUGAUUGUUGUCGUGGAUUCAGAUUUUUAGGUGUCUGAAGAAAUGUCGUUUAUGUUGCAUAGUAUAAUGGUUGUUUUUUUUAGUUAUUUGCAGUAAAAUAAAUCAAGGUUAGAUCGCUUGAUAUUCUACAUAACCUUUAUGUGUUUCAGAAAAAAAAACUAUGCAGUUUUGUAUACGUUUCAUCCAGAUUCUUUUUAAAUGCCCCCUAUUUGAGUGUAUGCUUUAGGGAGAAGCCUAACUUUUGAAUUUAAACUAUAGAAUGUGGUCACCUAAAUUGGAGUAGUCUAAUUGGUCACUUCAUUUUCUGUUUUCAAUAUUAUAAUGUAUUCUAAUUGUGAGAUAUGGUGCGCUGCCAUAUUAUGCAAAAUCUACCUGUAUUACUUGUUCAAACAUCAUGAACCUUAUUAUGCCAAUUGGUGCUCAGCAAGAGAGGCACAACCUCCGCCACACCGAAGAGACAGACAACUUCCAUGUAGAACUCCUUGAAGUGACUGCCGAUGAUGUACAUGUCCGUCUAUCUCUCAAUCUCGAUUUUCUUAUGGAUUGAAAGCUGAGAUGACAUGUCUUUGUGAGAUGCCAAUGCCAUGAUAAUUUGAUGACUGUCCCAGCUUUUUGAUUUUCAUUGGAAUGAUUUUAUAGCCUCUGUUAGUAGUGCUAUUUUCCUUAUUUUCAGUGCCACCAAAUUAAAUACCAUUGUUUCCAAUGUGUGUGUGUGUGUGUGUGUGUGUGUGUGCGCGCGCGCGCGUGUCUGUGGCAAGUUCUGCUCUAAACAAAUAUAUGAGACACACAAAUGCACAUGUGUAUUCAUGUUAUAUUGUUGUGACAGGUGCAAUUAUAUUUUGAUCCAAAGUUCUGAACAAGCAAAGGUACGAAUACUAAUGCCAGUGCAGUUUCGCUCUUCCUAGGAUGGCCUGGAUGGCCCGAGGUGAGCAGCCUUUGAUACACCGUGCAAGGCACCCAGGAGCUGCCUUCCAGAUAAGUCCCGUUGCCACCGACCGGAACGAGCUCGCUUCGGCCUCCUCUCCCCAACUAACGGCCUCUCUGAUCUUGCAGCUACUGCCUCAUCGCCAACCUACAACAACAAGGUGAGACUCCUGCCUUUAUAUGUUGUUGUGAUUAAGAAGGUUGGAGUAGCUUUGUUAAUGGAUGGAAUCACCUGCCUAUUCCAUUCACCAACCCCAAUGACCAGUGUUUAGCCCCAACGUCUGUUCGAUUGAAUCCCUUGCUACAGCCGCUAGGUCCUAGCCUCAUUUCGCUGGUUAAUUUUAUGUAUAAUUGUGUGAUAAGACAUUGAGGUGUAUGCAUAUCUAUCGCAGUAUAUCAUACUUUUGAUUGUAGUACAGGUAAUCUGGUCACCAUGUUAGAAAGGCAAAUGUUUGAUUUUGCAAUUAAUGUAUUCGUUGCAUGAAUGGUUAAUGGUUCCAUACCAAGGAUGACAUUUUCUCUCAUAUAUACUUCUAAAACACAUAUGUUCCUAGCUGACUUGGUGCUUUACUUUCAUUUGACUUUUAACAAUUUAAUGAUUUGAUUCUUUCGUGGAACAAACGAAAUACAAGAUGGCUGAAGCCUGUAGAACAUUGUAUUCGGUUUACUAUGUGGUUAUUUCAUUAAGAUUAUUGCGUCUCUUUUUGUUCCAAUAAUGUCAUUUUUGCUUCUCACUUUGUAACGAUUAUACCGCUGAUCAGUUUGUGUUGUGCUUCUUAGUAUCUUGCCAAUUCUACUUCUUGUUUCCAGAUGUAAUUACUUUUAAUAGCGCUUUAGUUCUACAAUCGACAGUUUCACAUCAUGCAAGGGCUGGGUUCAACCACUUGCAUGUUCGGUCAAAGGUAAAGAUGAAAGGACUUCUUAUUUUCUAUUGCUGCAUGGAAAGUUCACUGGAACUUAUGAUUCUAAGUGAGUGUGAAAUAACAUGCUUUAUCUUGACACAAUGACAUACGGAGAAACUAUACUUCCCAUAGUGAAGUUGGUAUUUUAAUUCACACAAGUUUCUGCGUACUGCUGAUUAAACCCAUACUUGUCAUAUGAAUAAAGUGAACAUCCAAAGGAAAUUGAUUUUUUUCUUGCACCGAUAAUCAUUCAGUUAUUAUUUUGCAGCACAUAUCCCAUUCAUUUUACCCCCUCUGUAUAUUUUGUAGGGCGCCGAUGUCUCAAAGCAGUAGUAUUGGUUUUUGAUGACCAAGUAGAAGGUUUUGUAUGUCAUGGGCUUGGCCGUGACGCCUUAGACCACGCCGCAACGUCGAAUAUGUCGUCCAUGGCCUCUUACGCCACCGCCAUUUCUGCCUCGCACUGCAUCAACCCCCUCCUUCACCAGCCACCGAUCAAACCCGUGAUGCUAGCUUCCUUGGAUUCUUCCGGUUCAAGUUCCCCACCGAAUCAUCCACCACAUGGAGAUGACUGCUAUCACGGUCAGACCAAGGGCUAUGUUCAGUGCGAUUCUUAGCAAGAUUUGUUUGUCUGAUGCAAAGUACGCGCGUUGUAGGAACUACAACCAACGUGUGGGUGCAACUGUGGUUUUCUGGCUGUCCAUGUUGCACUUUUCCGCAAUGGCAGAACCCAGGAAGAUCCAAGACAAUCCAACUAGGGAUAUUUCAACAGUUUGAAAUAAGGAAUUGGAACUGCAGCAUCCUGAAAUACUUGACAAACUAUAGGAAGAAGCAUCAAGGACUUGCUCACCAUGAAACAACUCCACAAUAUCAUUGUCACAUGCUGUUUUAUUUGCUAUGAGCAUCGGAUCCUUGCGAUUGACCCAUACGAAGUGACUUUAGCAAAGCUUGCCCUUUACCCUACUAAAGAGUUAUUGUCUUUUUGUAAUAGGAGUUGUUCAUUUUUAUUGCUCAACAUACCACUUUUGAGACUAUAAGUGAUAAUGAUAGUGGUUGGUAAGUUGUAUCGAGUCUCGCCUUACCUGUCCACCCUAAAACGUGUUAUCAGCCAAUGUGUAAGUGUAUAUAUUGCAAUGUAAAGCUCGUUGUGGUGUAAGUAUAUACACGCAAUA